rnacentral:lncRNA from 1 species
UUUAAAAAAGUAUAGCACCGGUGGCUUGAUAAGAUAUGGAUGAAUCAUGUCUCAUUUGUUUUGAAUUGAGUAUAUGUUUCUCUUGAUAUAAUUUUUGUACAUAAUAUCUAAUUAUAUUAUUCACUUUAAUCAUUAGAAUAUAUCCAUGUCUGGUCCCAUACUUCGAAUCCGAAUUAGUCAGAUUUCAAUGUAGAUUUCGAACAUCAAAUUUCAUAUACUUAUAGUAUUUAAGUUAAUAAUAUUGUCAUGAUAUACACGUGCAACACACGUACACUAAACUAGUAUAUUAAAAAUGUGAAGGGUCUGUUGUUUGAACUUUUUGCCCUUCAUUAAAAAUCUUUGUAAUCAUCUUUUCAUUAUUUUUUCUUAAUAUUUAAGAGUUAAAAAUUAAUUAAAUAUAUUUAUGGUAAAAUCUUUCUUUAUUAGAAGUUACGAGAAUUAAUGACAACUAAUAUUUUUUCAUUAGUUUAAGAAUUAAGUUUAAGAAGAUUUGAAAAAAUCUAUAAAUAAAUAUAAAAGAGUUAGAAUAAGAAAAAUUUGAGAAGUAUCAAAUUUUUAAAAAUUUUAAAUACGUAAUAAGAAUGUAAUCAAUGAUUUUGUAAUGAUUUGACUUUAAAAAUAAGAAAAAUUUUAAAUAUAAAAAAAAUUGUUACUACAAAUAUAGUUUAAAUCGAUGCGUCUCUCUUAGCGUCUGAUAGCAAGGGAAAAAAGUACUGCAUUACAACACAAAAGUGAUCCAUCAACUAUUUAAAAUUUCUGGUUGUAAAAUAUAUAUGUGCACUAAAUAUAUGUUUAUAUUUACAUUAUUAUAUUAAAGUAUGAAAGACUUUUGAAAGUGAUUUGACCUUUUUACACUUCAUUAAAAAAAUUUUCAAUAGACAAAUUCAUUUAAUUUUAAAUAAUUAAAUGUUACUCGUGCGAUUAAACUAGUAGUAUAUAUAAAAGGGAGAAUGUAAUUUUUGGGUGAUUAUUUGAUUACAUUUCAACUAAAUCUUACCAAUUAAAAAACUCACUUAAAAAUUUGCCCCUAUAAUUAUCUUUUAUUACUUUCUAUACUACAUAAAAGUCAAAGAACAUUCAAGCCUUUUUGGUAAAUACAGGAUUUCUAAAACUUCAAAAAUGAUGCAUAUACGGUAGCAUUUUCAUAUAUUCUUUUCAUAUAUUUCAUUUUUGCCUUUAAUAUAUUUCUUUAUUAGUUGAAUUGCUACAUUCAUUUUGAUAAGUUUAGAGGACUUCAAAAACCUUUUAAAAUGCUUAAGAAAGUGAACUUUGAUAAAACUUUUAAGAAAUUAUUGCUUUAGAAAUUCAGAAUAAAAAUUUGUACUUUUUUUUUAAAUUUUCACUUGCCAUAAUUCGUCUCACGAGAGUUAAUCUGAUUAAUUUUUUAAACUAAAUUAUUAUAUAUAUAAGUGAGAAUCCUCACUUUCAUCGUCAUCACAUUGUGAUUUCAUCUUACGAGGGGACUACACACAUGGCUGCUUUUUUGCUAUAUAACUUCAUUUUGGCUUUUAUUCAUUUUCUUAUAGCCAUUUCAAUUUUUGCCUUUCAUUUUUACUUUUUAUUUGUUUCUUAUAUUAAAAAUUUAUUAUUUUAUUUGCUUGUUUCAACUAAUCAUAAAAGGGUAUUUUAAUUUUUUUCUAUUUCCCUUCGAUCUUUUCUAAAGAAUUUCACAUGGAUCUUUUUAAUUGGUCAAUUUUUUUUUUAAUUUUUAUUAAUUUUUCUUCUUCUUUAUCUUAAAAGUAUUUGUCACAUUUCACUUUUCGAAAAUUAAAUUAUAUGCACUUUAAUCAAUAUUUUAAAAAAACAUCACUAAGUUGAUAAAAAUGUUGCGAUUUAUAGUUUUUAUUUUUCAUAAAAUAUUUGAAUAUCUAAUUUUUAAUUUUAAAUAUUUAAUUAAUUUAUCACAAUGUAGCUCCAAAUCCUAUCAAAUAGUCUGAAAUAUAAAAUGAUGAAAUCUUAACAACUUUUGAAGCAAAAUUUUCUUUUAUCACCGAAAACUAUAUCAACCUUUAAUAUUUUUGUUUCUUUAGUGACCUCAUACGUGCUUAUAAAUAAUAAAAAAAAAGAUCAAUCUGGUGCAUUAAAACUCCCGAUAUGUAUAUAAUUCGAAGAAAAAUUACAUCACAAGAAUCUAUCGUACGCAAUAUCACCUUACGAGACUGUUUAUAAAAUAUUCAUCUUAAAUUUUAUUUAAAAUAUCUAUAAAUUUAUUUGUUAAUGUUGAUUUGGGCCAUGCUUAUGACACUAAUUUGAAAUACAAACCAGCAAAGCCAUGACGUCAUUGCUUUUAUUGAUCAACUUUAAGAUCAACUUAAAUCCCAACUUUUAUUUUAGUGAGUGCAUUUAUAUGUUUUAUAUCUAUUUUUGUAUAUUUUUUUAUGUAAUUAUGUCUAUUCCGCAUCGAGUUUACUGGGUGCCCAAAAUUACAAGUAGGUCCGCCCUGCCAGGACCCUAUACAUCUUAUCUCAGGUAGGUCCGCCCCUGGCAGGACCGUAUACAUCUUAUCUUAUAUUACAUGUUCCACCUAUGCCAUGACAUCAUCAUUUUCAUUCUUUUCUUCUUUCAUGGGAUUCAUAAUUGGUGAUCAACACAGAUAUGGUCUUCUAUAUAACCAAUCAAAAGGGUACCAAUAACAGUCCAAUCCACAAAGUUCAGUUUCAGUAUCAAAGUUCAAGUUUGUAUAAGCCUUUGAGCCAAAAAAGAAAAAUGACAAGUAGCAAGAAAAUAGAGUUAAUCUUCAUUCCUUCUCCAGGAGUUGGUCAUUUAGUGUCCACAGUAGAAAUGACAAAGCUUCUCAUAACUAGAGAAAAACACAUGUCCAUUACAGUCCUCAUCAUGCAAUUACCUCAUGACAACAAGAUCUCUUCGUAUAUCAAAUCAGUCGCCAAUUUCAGUCCGCGUUUGAAAUUCAUUCAACUCCCUCAGGAUGACUCUGUGUUGCAGCUACUUCAGAGCAAUCUUUUCAUCUUGUUUGUUGCUGGUCAUAAGCCUGCAGUUAGAGAUGUUGUUGCUGAAAUUAUCAAGUCACAAUCACAUAUUACACUAGCAGGUAUUCAAAUUAAUUUCACUUAUGAUGAUUGUUUAACUUUAUCUGUCCAGGGAUUUUGUUCAGUGAUAAGCACACAACUUGUGAUUUAUAGAUUAGAUAUUCACGGCCGUAGCGUAUAACAUCUUAUGUUGCUGAACUUAUCAUAUUUCAUACAAUGGAAUACACAUCAGGUCUCAUGUAAAAAUCCUUCUUAAAAUGAGGAUAUUUUCCUUGGAAUACACAUCAGACAAAAGUUUGGUAUUUCCUACCAUGCCAAUUUAUGUGGCACUUUGUGGAUUUCGAAGGCCAAACAGUUUUUUUUACCGCGAUAUUUUCAUAUGCCUUUUUAAGUAUUUGAAAUUAUUAGUUAUUGUGACUUAUAGCUCUUUUUACGUAGUCUUAAAAUGCAAGUUUUAUUUCAAAAAUCUUAAAAGAUUCUAUACCUGAAUUCAUGGUACAAAUUUAAAACUAUGACUCUCAAAAUCUGAAUGAUACCACAUGCUACAUAAGUUGGGACAGAGGGAGUAUUUAGGUUGAGUAAACUUCUUUUUUUGUGUGUGUUACAGUGGAUAAAGGUUAGUAACUAUACGUGAAAUUAACAUGCAGGUAUUGUCAUCGACAUGUUUUGCACCUCUAUGAUAGACGUGGCCAAUGAAUUUGAGCUACCAACCUAUAUAUUCUACACCUGUGGUGCAGCCACUCUCGGUCUUAUGUUCCAUUUACAAAACCUUAGUGAUGAAUUUAACAGAGAUAUUACUAAUUACAAAGAUGAACCUGAAGCAGAACUUUCUAUAUCAACAUAUUUCAAUCCAUUUCCAGCAAAAUGUUUGCCCUCUGGAGUGUUGGACACGGAAGAUGGAGCCACCAUUCUCGAUCUUACACGAAGGUUUCGAGAAACCAAAGGCAUUAUGAUAAACACAUUUGUUGAACUCGAGCCCCAUGCAAUAAAAUCCCUUUCAAGAGACAAGAAUAUACCACCGGUAUACCCUGUCGGACCCGUGUUGAACCUUAAUAACGUUCAAGGUGACAACUUGAGUUCAUCAGACCAGAAUAUUAAGAAAUGGUUAGAUGAUCAACCCCCUUCAUCUGUAGCGUUCCUCUGUUUUGGUAGCGGAGGAAGUUUCGAAAAAGAGCAAGUUAAGGAAAUAGCUUAUGCUCUGGAGAAUAGUGGGUGUCGGUUUUUGUGGUCAUUGAGGCAACCACCACAGAAAGAUGCAAAGCUUCCAAGUGACUAUGAAAAUCUUGAAGAAGUAUUGCCAGAAGGGUUCUUGCAAAGAACACAAGGGAUUGGAAAGGUAUUGUUGUUGAUUUUUUCUUUUUAUUUCAUAUGGUGUCAGGUCAAUGCUUCAUUCUCAAACUUUAACCUGAAAUUUUGUGGUUAAGACUGAAGGGCUACUUAUCAUUCCACCAUAAAGUUUGGCGGCGUUGAUUUAUUUUAAAUGAUUUAAAACUAGUGUGAUAAAAAGAACAACAUUUUUAUAAAGAACAGCAUAUCCAUUUUUUUCGUAACUUUAUGUUUUUGGAAUACGUUGUCACUUGUUAUCUAGAUAGAAAAUCUACUCGAAGACAACGCAUUUAUAGAGCCUGUUUGGAUUGGCUUAUUUUAAGUGCUUUUAAGCACUUUUGUUUAGGAAAAAUAGAGAAGUGCUUUUAAACAAACCAAGAAGUCAUAAGUUAGAAUUCUGAACUUAUGGCUUAUUAAGCCAAAAGCUAUAAGCCCAUCCACACAGGCUCAUAGUGUACCAUUAUCUUUUCACAUCCACACUUCAUUUUAUCUUUUGUUACUUGCUAAUCAUAGCAUCUUAUUAUCUCCAAUUCUACUAUUUGCCUACAGGUGAUAGGAUGGGCACCUCAGUUGGCAAUUUUAUCUCACAAAGCAGUGGGAGGCUUUGUGUCACAUUGUGGAUGGAACUCGAGUUUGGAAAGCAUUUAUUUUGGAGUGCCAAUGGCUACUUGGCCAAUGUACGCAGAGCAGCAAGCGAAUGCAUUUCAAUUGGUUAAGGAUUUGGGAAUGGCAGUCGAGAUUAAAUUGGAUUACAGAAAGGAUCCGAAAGUGACGAUGGGCCAAGAAUUUAUAGUGAAAGCAGAGGAGAUUGAGAAAGCAAUAAGGGAACUUAUGGACCCGGAAAAUAAAAUCCGAAUUAAAGUAAAAGAGAUGAAGGAGAAGAGUAGAGCAGCAACCAUGGAAGGUGGCUCUUCUUACACGUCUAUUGGAGGUUUCAUCCAGAGUAUCAUGGAGAAUACUCGAUGAUUAGCCGUUUUUUCUGGCUAAUAGCACUGGAUAUAUGACAGUAUAAUAAUACAAUUUAUGUGCAUUUUGUAGUUUGAUCGAUAUAGUUGGUUAUGCACCCUCGUUCUAAGUUAUUAGUAAAGGUUUUGCCUAUGCUGAGCACAACCCAAAAUUGUGUUGGUUGUUGUAAUAUCUUUUCUUAAUCUCAAUUUGUUUCAUGUGACAUCAAACUACAGGCUCCUAUUAACUCUGCAAUAAACUAUAACAUACAAUCAUGUAACUUUUUGUCGGAAUUUUCUUUCCCAUAGUCAACAUGUUGUCGUUGUUGUAUCGAAUGAAAUUGUAAAAAAGGUUCCUACUUGGUGUUGAUUACAGUCAUACAACUUGAGAUGCUCUUUUGCUCAAGUUAGGAAAAAUACAAUCAUUGGGGAAGAGAGUAUACAGGAAAGUACCUUUCCGAGAUAAGAUUGCCCAAUACUCGAUGCAUUGGUGGGAAGAAAAAAUUUCUCCGUUUUGGGAUCAGAGCUCCAAGGUAACUCGCUCAUGUUUGGUUUCUCCACAUAGGCCAUGGUAAACUCUCCCAUCUUUUCCGCCCUGCCUCGCCAACCUGCCCUUAACACAUGCUUCUUGUUGAGGUACGAAAAGAUCCCAUUUUCCAACCGGAUAAUAUCCCCAGGCUCAAAAGCAUCGCAUUCAUCACCCCACAUUUGAAAUUGAACUGCAGCUGUCUCAUCUGCUACUAAUGCCAGACAGGUCUUUUGUUGCUCUUCUACACCUGUCCUACCUUUGUUUUUUUGAGACAAAGCUAUCCUCCCUUUCUCCAAAACAAUAAAUUUUGUGUUUAUAUUGUUCUCAGCUGCUGGUACGAUGUCUUUUAGAGACUGCAUCCUCUUGCAAUAUGAUAAAAUGUCUGCAACCAAAGGCAAAAAAGAUAACAAAAUACUAGAAAAAAUUUAGCUUUUAAAAUUAGAAAAAAAACAUUAAACUUUUUCCGCACUAUUUUCUCAAUCAAGAAAAGAGGUACCCAUAUAUUUUUCAAUUUAAUGAAUUUUUUUUCACAAUUUCUUGGUCAUAUUUACUAUAUUCUCCUGAUUAUGUAAUAUGUGAUCUCUUGAACAGAUUACUUAAAUGACAAGAACUUUUAAUACGGCUUUCUAUCAAACAUGUGGAGUGCAUAGGUUGUGACAGAAUUUCACAUUACCUCGAACCACAAGAACACCAAAUUUAUGACUCAGAAUUAUUUAAUUCAAAACGCAAGUAGAUACUGAAAGCCUCUAGGAACUUCGCCUUCAAAAACCUAGUUGACGUAGAAAGUUCAGUUUGGAAUUUCGUGGCUGUUGAUGGAACUAUGAUGUGAAUUCAUGUGUAUGUUAUCUCAUUUGUUUGUUAAUGAAAAGGACUAAAGAUUAUAUGAUAAUAAUAAGAUUAAUAAAACUUUGUUGUAUAUUAUCCUGAUCUCAGAAACAAAUGACUGGUUAUCAUUGCACGUUCUUUUUUAGCAGUUGUGACUUAUAAUUGUUUAAAGUAUUUGUUUGACUCUUGCUGGUUGAUGUUACUGGUAAGUCACCAGAUUGACACUUAGGUUGUUGUUGGACUAUAAUGUUACGAAAUAAUUCGGAGAAAGUUGGAAACUGUAGAACGAAAUUGCAAAGAAUUAUUCAUGAUGUGGCUGAUAUAUUAUCUAUUCAAUUAUCUACCGGGAUCUCAUCUGUGGGCGGCUUUUAAAAGGCUAUCAUUUGUAUGACGAGAUGCUAACCUAGGUCUGUACAUUCCAACAGGCCUCCUUAGGAUUUCGACAACAUAAUCAAAGGAUGACAUAUUUCAGGAUUUGGAGACAGGACCACAAAAGUCUGUUGCACCAUUUUUGCAAGAGGCUAUGUCCACAGGAACCUGUGAUGACCUCCAAUUACGUAACAGUAACUUUACAUGUUAUUUCAAAGCUCUCUUUCGAAAAAAGUUGAAACAAGAGGAGAGUAAACCUUGUAUUCAUUGGACUUGAAUGACACUGGCCCGUCAUCUUAGUGGACCAAGCAAAAAAGGUGGUGGUGUGGUCUAGUUAGGCAGCCCAUCAGUUGAAUGACACUGGCCCGUCAUCUUAGUGGACCAAGCAAAAAAGGUGGUGGUCUAGUUAGGCAGCCCAUCAGGCAUUCCUUCCUUGGACUUGUGUGACACCGGCCAGUGAUCAUCUUAGCAGACCAAGGAAAAAAAGUGGUGGUCUAGUUAGGCAGCCCAUCAGGCAUUCCUUGGACUUGUGCAACACCGGCCUGUAAUCCUUCCACUGCCCAAAGCGGGAGCUGUUCGUUGCUCUGUGCAACCAGCCUCACGCAAUCCACCCCACUUUAGGAGCCAAGUUGCCCAAGCCUUCGCCUGGACCACGUGACCCAACUCUGUGCUUGGAGAGGGCAGGCCAGAGAAUCGCAACACAAGCCCUACCCUUUGGACAGGCCUACGCAUUCUACCACAUUAAUGCCCCCACUUGGGUUACAAGCCCAUGUUACUGAGCUCAGCAAUAUGAGGUGUGUUCUCUAGUGCUAAUAAAGAGGCAAAUAACUAUGUGUAUCAGCAAUGUGGGAGAACACUUGGGGAAAAAAAGGAUAAAUUAUGUCUAGGAAACGAUAAAUUGUCAUCUUUUCCUUUUCUUUUUAUAAAACUUUGUUGCUUCACAGUCUGCC